AUUGAACGCUGGCGGCAUGCCUUACACAUGCAAGUCGAACGGCAGCAUGGGUGCUUGCACCUGAUGGCGAGUGGCGAACGGGUGAGUAGUGCAUCGGAACGUACCGUGAAGUGGGGGAUAACGUAGCGAAAGUUACGCUAAUACCGCAUAUUCUGUGAGCAGGAAAGAGGGGGAUCGCAAGACCUCUUGCUUUACGAGCGGCCGAUGUCGGAUUAGCUAGUUGGUGAGGUAAAGGCUCACCAAGGCGACGAUCCGUAGCGGGUCUGAGAGGAUGAUCCGGCACACUGGGACGGGGACACGGCCCCGACUCCUGCGGGAGGCAGCAGUGGGGAAAUUUGGACAAUGGGCGGAAGCCUGAUCCAGCCAUGCCGCGUGAGUGAAGAAGGCCUUCGGGUUGUAAAGCUCUUUCGGCGGGGAAGAAAUUGCGCUCUCUAAUACAGGGUGUAGAUGACGGUACCCGCAUAAGAAGCACCGGCUAACUACGUGCCAGCCGCCGCAGUAAAAC
rnacentral:rRNA from 1 species